CCAAACGCAGUGAAGAGAAGAGUACGCAAACCACAAAGUUUACAGAGAACCUACGUAUGCUGAGAGUAGGAACGGAGUGCUUGCCGAAGAUGGCCUUGGAGCGGUGUACCGAGGUGUGAGAACACUUAGGCUACAACGGGAUUCGCCCGUAACAGCGAUAGAGUAUGUUUGUACUCGAUAAGGUUUAUGUCGUGAGGCAUAAGCGAAAAAAGGUGGUAACACGAAGCGGACUAAUUCGCUCUCGUCCUUUUA
rnacentral:ncRNA from 1 species